UGGGCUGGCCGAAAGGCCCGGGUCCAUCUUUUAGCGGGGAAUUUCCCC
rnacentral:sRNA from 1 species